rnacentral:rRNA from 1 species
AGCACGGACCAAGGAGUCCAACAUGUGCGCGAGUCUAAGGGUUUAUUAAACCUGGAGGCGAAAUGAAAGUGAGACCCUUUAUGGGACAGGCCGAUCCCUUGUCAGGAAGAAUGGCUGUGCAUGGUUGUAGGUGCAUGCUUGCGACUGUUUGUGCAGUUUAUUUUUCUUGGCUGUCUAGCUGUCCUUCGGGAUGGUUGGAUUUUGGGCGCAGGCCGAGGACUUGCCAUAGUGCGGCGCGGGCAACGGGUUGCUUUCGGGCUUCCUUAUCCCGAUGUCCGCCGGCAAGUACCUGAGAGCGCAGCCGUUGGGACCCGAAAGAUGGUGAACUAUGCCUGGCGAGGACGAAGCCAGAGGAAACUCUGGUGGAGGUCCGAAGCAGUUCUGACGUGCAAAUCGAUUGUCAGAGCUGGGUAUAGGGGCGAAAGACUAAUCGAACCAUCUAGUACG